UAACAAGCUACGCCGCUCCCUGCAUUCCAUCGUCGAAUCAACAACGUGGUUCCCUUCUUUACUGCUCUGUUCCGCCUCUGCCGACGACCCAAUAAUGCUGGCGCGAGCCGUCCUCACGGCGUCUCCAGACAGUACUUACACUUGGUUGUAUUCAAUUCAAGAGGCUUUGUGAACUCUAAAAAGAUGGAAAUCCGGCAGAAUUGAUUGCUAGGGUUUACCCUCCUCCUCUGGCCUUCUUCUACUGGCAAAUUCUUUCCCCCAUUUGAAGCUUAAUUUAUGAUAGUGCGCACACGUGUAGUGUUGUGUAUGUAUUCAUUUUGUCUGUAUGUGUAUAUAUGAAUGUAUUGCGCACUUGGUUGUAUCCAUACGUGUGCAUGGGUCAUCUUAGAUUGUUAGAAUUAAAAUAUUUUUUGCUGGUUUAUAGUCUGAACUGCAGCUUUGUUUGAGGUUCACUGUAUUUGUGAUGCUUAUGGAGAAGUGUUGGUUUGAUUGUACUUAAUGCCUCUUUGAAAAUAGCUUAUGAUGCCUUAAUGAAACAGAGAUUGGGCUAGGA